UACGGAGGGUGCAAGCGUUAUCCGGAUUCACUGGGUUUAAAGGGUGCGUAGGUGGGUUUGUAAGUCAGUGGUGAAAUCUCCAAGCUUAACUUGGAACUGCCGUUGAUACUAUAAAUCUUGAAUGUUGUGGAGGUGAGCGGAAUAUGUCAUGUAGCGGUGAAAUGCUUAGAUAUGACAUAGAACACCAAUUGCGAAGGCAGCUCA
rnacentral:rRNA from 1 species